GCCCGGGUGGUGAAAUUGGUAGACACAAGAGACUUAAAAUCUCUCGGCUAAUGGCUGUACGGGUUCGAUUCCCGUCCCGGGCACCA
rnacentral:tRNA from 1 species